GACGAACGCUGGCGGCGUGCUUAACACAUGCAAGUCGAACGGUGAAGGGGUCUGCUUUUGUGGGCCCUGGAUGAGUGGCGCACGGGUGAGUAACACGUGAGUAACCUGUCCCCUUCUUCUGGAUAACCGCAUGAAAGUGUGGCUAAUACGGGAUAUUCUGGGUCUGUCGCAUGAUGGGUCUGGGAAAGAUUGCGCCUUUGGGUGUUUUUGGUGGGGGAUGGGCUCGCGGCCUAUCAGCUUGUUGGUGGGGUGAUGGCCUACCAAGGCGGUGACGGGUAGCCGGCCGGAGAGGGUGGACGGUCACACUGGGACUGAGACACGGCCCAGACUCCUACGGGAGGCAGCAGUGGGGAAUAUUGCACAAUGGGCGCAAGCCUGAUGCAGCGACGCCGCGUGAGGGAUGGAGGCCUUCGGGUUGUAAACCUCUUUCGCCAGUGAAGCAGGCCUGCUCCUUGUGGGUGGGUUGACGGUAGCUGGAUAAGAAGCGCCGGCUAACUACGUG
rnacentral:rRNA from 1 species